rnacentral:lncRNA from 1 species
AGGUAACGAAUAUUGCUUGGUCGCUUUGACCAGGCACUAUCAUAACUUAUUGUGCGCCCCCUACAAAGUCCUGCUUAUCCUUUGACAGAAAAAAAUGAUCGUCUUGUGGUUGGUUGGGUGUACGAAACGUAUCAUUGCUUCAGCCAGCGCUAAUUAUUUGACUGGGGUUUUGUCUCGUGCUACAAGUACCACAAUAGGAGAUCAGCUAUUAUUUUAUCCCACCACUCGAAAUUCUUUGCUCUCUUGCUGUGCUGGACAAGUGGGAAAAUGAACUUAGCUGACUCAAACCUUGGCUUGUUAUGAUUAACUAUAUAAAGAAAACAAAAUGUUACCAUCACUCACAUCCUCUCCUUAUGAUUGGCUAGAGUAAUGGUUUUCUGUUCUGUCUUAUUGAUUUCACUCAGCUAACUUGGGUUUAAAACCUUUUAAGCUAACUUGGGUUUAAAACUUUUUAUAUCUUCUCCUUACUAGAGUUUCGCUGUUUCUUGAGGAUUUCUUUCAAAUUUAACUACCUUUGAUCUUCAGGGUCAAUUUGAAUUCUCUCCUUGCUAGUUCAUGGAUAAAUUUCUCCCGCGUCACAGGAAUAUUGUACCUUCCUUUAUUUAGUAAUUUUCUAAACGAUAAGGUCACAACCAAUUUAGGCAUUCUAUUAUGUGUAUUUUAACUUGGGAUUUUGAACCAUUGAUUACAAAUGGCGCAUGUUGGAAACUGUUCUAUUAUACUUACUGAAUGCAUGCUAUUUCCUACCCACCAAGUUCUUUCCAUGUUUUGAGUUGCUAUUAGUGCCUUGUAGUGUUAGUAUGACCAAUUGUCAGUGUCACUUGGUUGAGUUCUAGCAUUCCUUGUUAGUACUUGUCAUUUCUGUACUCACAAACUUGUUUUUCUCGUGAGAAGUUAAAAUAUUUCUGCCCUUACAUUUCUCUGUCUUACCUCUAUACUGUAGAAUUGUAGGCAAAUAAUUUUGAUGGUUCAUCCACCCAUUUUAUGUUCUGAAACUGUCAUGAGUAUUAAUGUAUUAUGCUAUCAUCAGAAAAGUUAUCCUCCAAGUUGCCUUGAUUUGCAAAUUUCUUAGGCAUAACACAUUAGUUUAUGUAGCUAUCCACUCUACAAGAUUGAGAUUUCGAUACAAUAUAUUAUGAUAGUCUUGCUAAGGAAACGUCAAAUGAAGUAGUUCCCCAUACAUUUUACUAGAUAUACUAGUAACUUCAGAUAAACUGAUCCAUGCAAAUAGUAGCUUCAGAUAAAGUUUAUUACAUUGCGGAAACUGUUUUACUUUUCAUUUUGUAUGGUCCUCAUGGAUGAGGAGUAGAUACCAUGUCUAGGCUCUAUAAUCAUUGUAAUGUUGUUUUCUCAGUUCAGCGGUGCUUGCAAAUUUGUGUUACAUGAAGGCUGGGGUGAAUAUUUGAGACCAAAAGGUCAUUAUGUUCAGGGGAUACUUGGAACACUUCUUUUUGCUGCAUGCUCUGAAGCAGAAUAAGCUGAUCCAUGCAAGUGCGGUUGCAUCUUGAACUUCUGGUCCUAUAUGGAUUGUGAAUGACGUGCCAUUGGAUGUGUGAACUAAAAGUUGCCAUGUUAUUUGCGGCCAAGCAACAAUAAUUCUAGAUGUGUAGCCUUUUCUUCAUGGCCAACACAGCUCAAACUCAAACAUCACAAUAAAUUUCAAGUUCUCUAUCUAAUAAUCUUGCUUGCGAGUAUUGUUCUAGUUGAUGUGACACUGAAGGAUUUAUUACACCUAAAAGUAGGGAUAUAGUGGAGAUGCCUCUGUACUUGAUAGGUAGGUCAUAUCACAAAUAGAUGUUCUGAUUGGAAGCUGAAUUGAUUGGAGAUGAGGAAUCAGAUGGGGUGGUGUUAGGCCAGAAGCUUUAGUUUUGGUGGUAGGGGACAGUUGUCCUUUCUCUAUCUCUAUGCAAAAUUUGGCUUGUCAUAUAAGCGGCAGAAGAACCAGAGUAAU